rnacentral:rRNA from 1 species
GAAUAUUGGACAAUGGACGAAAGCCUGAUCCAGCAACGCCGCGUGGAGGACGAAGGCCCUCGGGUUGUAAACUCCUGUCAGGUGGGACGAAAGGGCGUCGGUCAAUAGCCGACGUCUCUGACGGUACCACCGGCGGAAGCCCCGGCUAACUCCGUGCCAGCAGCCGCGGUAAUACGGAGGGGGCGAGCGUUAUUCGGAAUUAUUGGGCGUAAAGGGCGCGUAGGCGGCUUGGCAAGUCAGGGGUGAAAUCCCUCGGCUCAACCGAGGAACUGCCUCUGAAACUGCCUGGCUUGAGGCCGGGAGAGGGUAGUGGAAUUCCCAGUGUAGCGGUGAAAUGCGUAGAUAUUGGGAAGAACACCGGUGGCGAAGGCGGCUACCUGGACCGGUUCUGACGCUGAGGCGCGAAAGUGUGGGGAGCAAACAGG